rnacentral:ncRNA from 1 species
UAUACGGCUAUGAAGAGAAGAGUAAUUUUGAUUAAUUAUUUGCAGAGAGCUCCGGUAGGUGGAAAGGAGUAAUAAUGAUCUUAAUGAAAAAAGGCUUGGAGCUUUGCACGGAUCUAAGAGCGUUCUUAGUGAUACUGCGACGGGAUCUCCCGUUAAAGAGAUAGGGUAUAAUCAAUUAUUAAAAAAUUGCCGUACCCGAAGAGGUUGAUAUGGUGAUAUAUCAAUAAACUGAGGUGGUACCACGGAGCUAUAAACUCUCGUCCUCAAG